rnacentral:rRNA from 1 species
UACAGAGGUCUCAAGCGUUGUUCGGAUUCAUUGGGCGUAAAGGGCGCGUAGGCGGCCUCCGCAAGUCAGUUGUGAAAUCUCCGAGCUUAACUCGGAAAGGUCAACUGAUACUGCGGGGCUAGAGUGCGGAAGGGGCAACUGGAAUUCUUGGUGUAGCGGUGAAAUGCGUAGAUAUCAAGAGGAACACCUGCGGCGAAGGCGGGUUGCUGGGCCGACACUGACGCUGAGGCGCGAAAGCUAGGGGAGCGAACGGG